GGAGCACAUUUCAAUCCAUUUCAUGUU
rnacentral:misc_RNA from 1 species